GAUUAAUAACUUGGAAGAAGGAAAAAAACUCCAUUCUAGCCUCUUUAACUCUGUUAGUAAGGCGUAGAAUCACCCUGACACUUGUAACAGAAACUUGAGUGUUUCCUUUCCAAUG